rnacentral:rRNA from 1 species
AGUGAACGCUGGCGGUAGGCCUAACACAUGCAAGUCGAACGGCAGCACAGUAAGAGCUUGCUCUUACGGGUGGCGAGUGGCGGACGGGUGAGGAAUACAUCGGAAUCUACUUUUUCGUGGGGGAUAACGUAGGGAAACUUACGCUAAUACCGCAUACGACCUACGGGUGAAAGCAGGGGAUCUUCGGACCUUGCGCGAUUGAAUGAGCCGAUGUCGGAUUAGCUAGUUGGCGGGGUAAAGGCCCACCAAGGCGACGAUCCGUAGCUGGUCUGAGAGGAUGAUCAGCCACACUGGAACUGAGACACGGUCCAGACUCCUACGGUAGGCCGCAGUGGGGAAUCUUGGACAAUGGGCGCAAGCCUGAUCCAGCAAUACCGCGUGGGUGAAGAAGGCCUUCGGGUUGUAAAGCCCUUUUGUUGGGAAAGAAAAGCAGCAGGUUAAUACCCCGCUGUUCUGACGGUACCCAAAGAAUAAGCACCGGCUAACUUCGUG